GGUUUGUUGCACACAUGGAGCUCCAUAUUUGCUGGGUUUCUUUAUCUAGCAUCAGACCAACACAAUACCAAAAGCACAAUUAAAAAAAAUACAUACAGCUAUGUCUGUUCCAGAAAUAGACAGGACAGAGGCAGCACCCUUUGUGUCAGGACUUAUAGACACCCUUGAUAGCCAAAUAAUAGGGUGUAGUCCUUUUGUUAGAAAAUCUGUAUAUGUGCUUAUUACCCUUUGUGUUACUACAUUUAACCCAGGAGUAGUCUUCAAGACCCAAGUAAGUGUUAUGUUAUUCCUUGUCAGGGGUAGCUUAUCCAUACAGGUGAACUAGGCAGUCACCUAGGACACCAAGUUAAGUAGAGAAGCCAACUUCAAGGAACAAAAUAAAAAAUUUACAAAUAUCAAUAUUUUUUUGUGGAGCACCAGUUGCAGGAUUUGCCCAGGAUGCUCUAGUUAAGGGCCACCACUGCUCCCUAGGAGAGUUUAUAUUCAACCAUCCUUUAGAUAUGGAAAAUCACAUAUGUAUAGCUGCAACAGAAAGGUUCCCUUGCACUGGUUACUUGGCCUAACCAAAUCCUUAAUGCUUUGCCAUUGUCUUUUGAAAUUAUGUAUACAAACAGCCAUGGGAACAAGUGCUUUCCUAAGACUCAUGGGGCAAAACUACCGUGGCCGUGUGGAGAUUCUGCACGAAGAGGUGUGGGGCACCAUCUGUGAUGAUUCCUGGAACCUGAACACCGGCACAGUGGUUUGCCGAAUGUUGGGAUUCAGUCGGGCCAUUGAGAUCUUCACUGCAUCUCCAGGAUCUGGACAAAUCUGGCUGGAUGAUGUGGAAUGUUCAGGAAGUGAAGACUCCAUUUAUUCAUGCAGUAAACGUAAAUGGGGUGAAAAUAACUGCAGUCAUGAUGAAGAUGCUGGGGUAGAGUGUGCUUAAGGCAGUUUUGCAGUGACACCUGUAACAUAAUAUUGAAAUAAGUGUCUCAGCCUUGUCACGCAAUGUGUAUCUAACUGAUAGUUAUAUAAUGUUUACUGCCUUCUGUUGUAUCAGUGUGUUUUUAGGUUCUUCUUUGAUCAAAGCUAAUUUUAAAGAUGCAUUUGAUGUAUCUGGGCUCCUAGGUACAGUGAAGAAUUUUUUAUGUAAGAAUCCCAUAAACUGCAUUCUUAUUCACCUGCAUGGAAGAUCCAUUCACUCAGUUAAACUUCCUAGUAAGAAGCAUCAUGGGAGAUACAGGCUACAAAAAAUGAAAAUCUGUCAGGCUAGAUUUCAUCAUUCAAUAAAGAAAAAUUACUUCCCUGGG